AUGCGGAGGUGGAAGAAACAGCUGGGCCACACCAUCUCCCGCCUCGUCUCCUCCAAACCCCCAUUCAACCUCGCAAGGCCCAAGCCCGCCGCGCCGCCGCCACCCCUACCUCCCCCACCGCCGCCGCAUUCAUCUCACCCGCCCCCGCCCCCGCCGCAGCCGGCCAUGCCGCCGCACGGGCGCCGCCCCGCGCCGCCGGCCCCGGGCGGCCACGUCUUCCCGCAGGCCGCGUCCACGGUGCUGCCCGACCCGGCCCGCUUCUUCGCGCCGGGCCUGCUCUCCGCGCCGCUCCCCACCAACUGCUUCUUCCAGAACUUCACGCUCAAGAACGGCGACCAGCCCGAGUACAUCCACCCCUACUCCGUCCGCUCCGCCGCGGCCGGGCUCACCCUCUGCUACCCGGCGCGCAGCCACUCCCCGGCCUUCGACAUCCAGACCUUCGCCGCCGACCUCACCGUCUCCUCCCCGUCCGACGCCGCCGCGGCCGGGCAGCCGCACCGCGUCGUCGCCUUCGACGACCUCUCCGUCACCCUCGACUUCUCCUCGUCGCUCCGCGCCUUCCUCGUCCGCGGCUGCCCCUUCGUCACCGUCGCCACCGCCGAGGCCGCGGGGCCCGUCGACGUCUCCGUCGCCUCCGUCCACGCCUUCCUCGAGGCCGCGCCCUGCGACGACGCGCGCACCAAGUGGCGCCUCCGGAUGAACAGCGGCCAGACCUUCCUCCUCUACGCCUCCGCGCCCAUCGCCCUGUCGCAGGCCAGCGUCACGCAGCUGGCCGCGCCGGGGUUCUCCGGCGUCAUCCGGAUCGCCUACCUGCCGGACCCGGCCAUGGAGGCGGUCCUCGACCAGUACAGCCGCUGCUACCCGACGGCCGGGGAGGCCGCGCUCAACCGCCCCUUCUGCAUCGACUACACGUGGCGCAAGCAGGGGUGGGGGGAUCUGCUCAUGCUCGCCAACCCGCUCCACCUUCGGCUGCUCCCCGACGACUGCUCCGUCCGGGUGCUCGACGACUUCAAGUACCGGAGCAUCGACGGGGACCUGGUCGGCGUCGUCGGCGACUCCUGGGUCCUCAAGACCGACCCCUUGUCCCCAACAUGGCAUUCCACCCGGGGCGUCAACGACGACGGGGUCGACGAGGUCGUGUCCGCGCUGCGCAAGGACGUUGACAGCCUUGCUUCCAGCCCCAUCACCACCACCUCCUCCUACUUCUACGGGAAGGCCAUUGCCAGGGCGGCGAGGCUGGCGUUGAUCGCCGAGGAGGUCGGGUGCCCCGAUGUCAUCCCCGCGGUGCAUCGGUUCUUGAAGGCCACCGUCACGCCGUGGCUGGACGGCAGUUUCCAGGGGAAUGGCUUCCUGUAUGAUCCCAAAUGGGGCGGCCUUGUCACCAAGCAGGGGCUGCAGGACUCCGGCGCAGACUUUGGCUUCGGGAUCUACAACGAUCACCACUACCAUUUGGGCUACUUCCUGUAUGCCAUUGCUGUGCUUGCCAAGAUCGAUCCAUCCUGGGGAAGGAAGUUCAUGUCUCAGGCCUACUCCAUGGUUGCCGAUUUCAUGACAUUGUCCCGCAAGUGCGGUGCGAGCUACACCAGGCUGAGGACUUUUGAUCUCUGGAAGCUGCAUUCCUGGGCCGGAGGACUGACAGAGUUCGGCGAUGGGCGCAACCAGGAGAGCACGAGCGAGGCUGUUAAUGCUUAUUACUCUGCUGCGCUCCUUGGACUGAGCUAUGGGGACACACACCUCGUCUCUGUCGGCGCGACGCUUACCGCGUUUGAGAUGCUGGCAGCGCAGACAUGGUGGCAUGUCCGGGAAGGAGAAGGGAUCUACGAGGACGACUUCAGCAGCAACAACCGUGUGGUCGGUGUCCUGUGGGCGAACAAGAGGGACAGUGGGCUCUGGUUCGCGCCACCGGAGUGGAAGGAAUGCAGGCUGGGGAUCCAGCUCCUGCCGCUCCUCCCGAUCAGUGAGGCCCUCUUCCCGGACGUUGGGUUCGUCAAGGACCUGGUGAGCUGGACCACGCCGGCCUUGGCGAGGGAUGGUGUCGGAGAAGGGUGGAAGGGCUUCGUGUAUGCGCUGGAGGGGGUUUACGACAAGGAGUCGGCAUUGGCCAAGACCAGGGCACUGGCAUCACACGACGACGGUAACACACUGACGAACCUUCUGUGGUGGCUCCAUAGCCGCGGCAAUGUCGACAACAUGGUUGUCGGAUCCGGCAGGUGCUGCUGGUAUCGGCAGUACGGCCAUUGA
rnacentral:rRNA from 1 species